AGUGAACGCUGGCGGUAGGCCUAACACAUGCAAGUCGAACGGCAGCACAGAGGAGCUUGCUCCUUGGGUGGCGAGUGGCGGACGGGUGAGGAAUACAUCGGAAUCUACUCUGUCGUGGGGAUAACGUAGGGAAACUUACGCUAAUACCGCAUACGACCUACGGGUGAAAGCAGGGGAUCUUCGGACCUUGCGCGAUUGAAUGAGCCGAUGUCGGAUUAGCUAGUUGGCGGGGUAAAGGCCCACCAAGGCGACGAUCCGUAGCUGGUCUGAGAGGAUGAUCAGCCAAAGUGGAACUGAGACGCGGUCCAGACUCCUACGGGAGGCAGCAGUGGGGAAUAUUGGACAAGGGGCGCAAGCCUGAUCCAGCCAUACCGCGUGGGUGAAGAAGGCCUUCGGGUUGUAAAGCCCUUUUGUUGGGAAAGAAAUCCAUCUGGUUAAUACCCGGGUGGGAUGACGGUACCCAAAGAAUAAGCACCGGCUAACUUCGUGCCAGCAGCCGCCGUAA
rnacentral:rRNA from 1 species